UACGUAGGGUGCGAGCGUUGUCCGGAAUUAUUGGGCGUAAAGAGCUCGUAGGCGGUGUGUCGCGUCGGCCGUGAAAACCUGCAGCUUAACUGUGGGCUUGCGGUCGAUACGGGCAUCACUGGAGUUCGGCAGGGGAGACUGGAAUUCCUGGUGUAGCGGUGAAAUGCGCAGAUAUCGGGAGGAACACCUAUGGGCGAAGGCAGCUCGCUGGGACGUUUACUGACGCUGGAGAACGCGAAAAGCGUGGGGGAGCAAACAGG
rnacentral:rRNA from 1 species